rnacentral:miRNA from 1 species
GCAGACACAUUCCAGCCAAUCAGCAGCAGACCCUCCCUCCCAGACCCUGCCACCUCCUGGACAGCAUCCAUUUUACAUUCAUUGUGAAGCUGCAUUCUUAGUGAGCUGUCCAGGAGGUGGGAGGGUCUGGGAGGGAGGGUCUGCUGCUGAUUGGCUGGAAUGUGUCUG